rnacentral:hammerhead_ribozyme from 1 species
ACCCAGAUGACGAGUCCCAAAUAGGACGAAGUGCGCAUGAAGCUGGAU